AGGGGCUUAGUUUAGUGGUAAAACAGCGGUCUCCAAAACCGCUGACGGGGGUCCGAUUCCCUCAGCCCCUG
rnacentral:tRNA from 1 species